rnacentral:ncRNA from 2 species
CUUCGACACUCUGGAAAGCGUCGCUCCUUCAAGGGGCGGCCACCGAAGGGGUAAGCCCGUCCAUUCACGGGCCAGUCUCUCAGGUCACCCGACAGAGGGGGCAUG